rnacentral:lncRNA from 1 species
CUUGGCUGGCUGUCUCCCAGACGUCACGUCAGGGUCUGUCUCCCUCCUCUCAGGCCUGGUGUGUCUGUCCACUGAUAUCCGACAGCUCUAUUUGAAUUGUGAACAGACACAGUGCUGCUCCUCCUCUCCUCUCCUGUAGAUGAUUGAGUGAAAAGAAGGGCCACAUACCCUACUUUCCUUUUCCAGCUCAUCACCCUCCGAGAUUCAACACGGGUUUAUUUUGGUCAGAUGGCUUCUGGUAGUUCAGCUCUCCGCAGACUUCUCACAUCCUUUAAAUAGACUUGAAUCCACCAUUGAUUUGUGAGAAAUGUCUGCAUUAGCUCCUCUGUCUGAGGAAACAUACCUCACAGCAAGAAGGAGAGAAGCAACCCAUUUUAUAAAAGCGUGUUGCAUUUGGAAAUAGAGUAGUCGAAAGGUGUAGGGAUGAAGACUUAAGGAUAUCAAUCGUUUUCCUCUUCAAAUGGGUGGAUCCACAGAAAGUAGAUAUUGCUUAAAGGAAAGGUAUCCUGACCUACAUGUCAAGACUGUCUUAUCUGAAGCCUUUGUUUGCCAUUCCUAGUGUCAGGCAUUCGAAUUGAUCCUGUUGAUCCGGAAUAAUCCAUCAAGGUUAAAGAGCUAAGCCUGCGGUCACUCUCUGCAGAUAACAGCAGCUCACAAGGGCCAUCGUUUCAGGAGAUAGGAGCAAGCAGUAUAUCUAUACUGUGAAUCACACAUACUAGAAAUAACAUUGAAACAGUAGAAGCAAUUGGAUGAUGCCUACCCCUCUUCUAGAUGGCAGAAUCUCUGAUAUCCUUUCAUGUUCACAAACCUUUCAGACUCUGCACUACUCCUAUUAAGCCCGGAAACAAUACAUGGAAGAGUUGACAUGAGUGCAUACAUGGUGUAUCCUUCAGAUAGAGUCAAAUUUGCAUGGGAAUCACUUCAAAAACCUAAAGCCACUCAUGGUAACUCAUGUACGAAUGUGCUCACAGCAGCAGGACAUGAGAGCACACACUGCUGGGCCAAUGCAUGGUAAGGAUCUGGCCUUUGGCUGCAGCUGGUUGAUUGCAUUUAGAUGAGAGGAGAGGGCAGCUGGGUUUAGGUUGAGAAAACAGCCUUUUCCCCUGCUGUGAUUAAGGGUUAGGCAUGGAUCAGCCUGAUCAUCUGAGAAAGCUGCAUGAAUUUAACUGAAAAGAACCGACUGACUGGAACUGUAUCAUAUGUUACGCGUAUCUUUUGAUUUCUUAGGGUAAUCCAACCAUUAACCCCAAGAUGGUCCAACAAAGAAAUAGAGCCAAAUGUGCAUUCUGGAGACCAAUCAAUUGGGCUAACCACUGACCCAUUUACAAUGGUAAAAUUGGAUUUAGGAAAAAGAUGAAUGGAGGAGCUCAGCUGCAGGAUCUCAAUAUUUGGUCCUACAUGAUCAACAUUUUCAGAAAACUUUCUUUAUCCUCACUGACUGAAGAGCAACUGUGUAGAUAAACUGUUGUGGAACUUUGUUGGAUACAACUUAUAAAAGAGGAAAAGUAAAAAACAAGAAUGUACACUGCAAAGCCUUAAAUCGAAAGAAUAGGAUGAAAAGUAAAAUCUUAGCCAAAGCAUAGACAUACCACAGUGCAUAUUUGUUCUUUAUC